UCCUCAGCACUGCAUAAACAGGAUAUGGUGGUCCACACUUACAAUCUCAGCACUCAGGAAGUAGAAGCAGGAUGAUCAGAAGUUUAAGUCAUCCUCAGUAUUUAGUUAAGGACCAGCUUGGGCUACAUGAGACUUCAAAAAGUGGCAACAAAUUCAGGAGGAAAUAGAUAAGAAGGGUUGCUUACGAAGUACACAAUGGCAAGGACAUUCAUUGCAGAGGGGAAUUUUAAAGGUGACUUCAGGGACAAAGAGAGUGUGCUCAGGAAGGGCAGGGAAGGAGGAGGAUAGACAGUAAGUUUUUAACUCCUCCAAGAACACUGAUAAGAGGAAGGUGAAUUAGAAGGUGCAAGUACAGAGACAAAGAUAGUUUUGUUUUUUCCAUGAGAACUAAAAAGAAACUUUUCUCCUCCAAGAGCAAUGGAGUACACAGGGAGCCAAUGAGAGAAGACUAGGAAGAGUCAAGCAGGAUGAGGUCAAAAAGACUGACUAGACACUGCGACAGCCCUGGCUAUGAGAGAAGACCCCCAGCCACAUGAAAGAGAAGGAAGUUCAGAAGUAACAGCUUCAGGGAAGUGGAGUUCCAGGGAAGUUAUACACAUUGUUCAAUGUGCCCAAAAGAACCGAACUCUUAUGCAUGGAAGAAUGAAAGAGACAGUGUUUCUACCUUCAAAAUCGUAAGCUCUGAGAAAGCUGUUUUCUGCAUAAGCACAUGAGAAGACUGAAGAUGAGUCCCAGAGGCUCACAGCUACAGACAGAAGCAGCGUCUUCUGGUUUGGGGAGAUUAAAAAACCUGGCCCAAGGAUUUGGGGUAAAGAAGGGAACCCACCACUAC